AUUGAACGCUGGCGGCAGGCCUAACACAUGCAAGUCGAACGAGUGGCGGACGGGUGAGUAAUGACUGGGCAUCUGCCUGAUGGAGGGGGAUAACUACUGGAAACGGUAGCUAAUUACGUCUACAAUCAGCUUUGCCCAGAUGGGAUUAGCUUGUUGGGGGGGUAACGGCUCACCACGGGCACGAUCCCUAGCUGGUCGGAGAGGAGGAACAGCCACACUGGAACUGAGACACGGUCCAGACUCCUACGGGAGGCAGCAGUGGGGAAUAUUGCACAAUGGGCACAAGCCUGAUGCAGCCAUGCCGCGUGUAUGAAGAAGGCCUUCGGGUUGUAAAGUACUUUCAGCGGGGAGGCGUUACCCGCAGAAGAAGCACCGGCUAACUCCGUGCCAGCAGCCGCGGUAAUUC
rnacentral:rRNA from 1 species